rnacentral:lncRNA from 1 species
GCCUCCCAAGUAACUGGGAUUACAGUUGGCUUGGGUCCAUUGGAUUAAUUUUGGUCAACAGGCUCUGAAGAAAAAUGACAUUUCAGGGAAUUAAGAGCACGUGUUCCUCCCUCUACCUUCUCUUUCUUCCCCCAGUGACCUUGGAGGCUACUUGUUGAUAAGUUGGUUGAAUCUGAAGAGCCCUUGGAUACGGAAGGCUGACUGUGUAUGGCUACUCUGAAGAAUGCAAGAAACAGUGUGUGAUACGCUUAGGGCUUAGCACAUUUUGGUACUCACUAAAUUUUCUCAACAUCUUCCUUCUACUUGCUCCUGGUACCCCUUAUUCAAGCACCAGCUGCCUUCUGCUCUCCCCAGCCUGCUAGAACACACCUGGGUAGGAACCCGCACUGUCCCUAAGCAAUGCCUCCUUCCAGCCUUCUCCCUCCACAUCUCAUCUUUAUCCCAAAACUUUGGAUAAACUGAAUCAUGCUCAUUUUAGUAUUCCUAACCUAAAAAUGACUCUCCAGCAAUGACAUUGAGAAGUGUUAAAAAUCUAGGUAUGUCAGGGCUGGGCACGGUGGCUCAGGCUGGUAAUUCCAGCACUUU